rnacentral:rRNA from 1 species
CGCAGUAGGAUAGGCGAAGCGUGCGAUUGGAUUGCACGUCUAAGCAGUAAGGCUGAGUAUUAGGCAAAUCCGGUACUCGUUAAGGCUGAGCUGUGAUGGGGAGAAGACAUUGUGUCUUCGAGUCGUUGAUUUCACACUGCCGAGAAAAGCCUCUAGAUAGAAAAUAGGUGCCCGUACCGCAAACCGACACAGGUAGUCAAGAUGAGAAUUCUAAGGUGAGCGAGCGAACUCUCGUUAAGGAACUCGGCAAAAUGACCCCGUAACUUCGGGAGAAGGGGUGCUCUUUAGGGUUAACGCCCAGAAGAGCCGCAGUGAAUAGGCCCAAGCGACUGUUUAUCAAAAACACAGGUCUCUGCUAAACCGUAAGGUGAUGUAUAGGGGCUGACGCCUGCCCGGUGCUGGAAGGUUAAGAGGAGUGGUUAGCUUCUGCGAAGCUACGAAUCGAAGCCCCAGUAAACGGCGGCCGUAACUAUAACGGUCCUAAGGUAGCGAAAUUCCUUGUCGGGUAAGUUCCGACCCGCACGAAAGGCGUAACGAUUUGGGCACUGUCUCAACGAGAGACUCGGUGAAAUCAUAGUACCUGUGAAGAUGCAGGUUACCCGCGACAGGACGGAAAGACCCCGUGGAGCUUUACUGUAGCCUGAUAUUGAAAUUCGGCACAGCUUGUACAGGAUAGGUAGGAGCCUUUGAAACGUGAGCGCUAGCUUACGUGGAGGCGCUGGUGGGAUACUACCCUAGCUGUGUUGGCUUUCUAACCCGCACCACUUAUCGUGGUGGGAGACAGUGUCAGGCGGGCAGUUUGACUGGGGCGGUCGCCUCCUAAAAGGUAACGGAGGCGCUCAAAGGUUCCCUCAGAAUGGUUGGAAAUCAUUCAUAGAGUGUAAAGGCAUAAGGGAGCUUGACUGCGAGACCUACAAGUCGAGCAGGGUCGAAAGACGGACUUAGUGAUCCGGUGGUUCCGCAUGGAAGGGCCAUCGCUCAACGGAUAAAAGCUACCCCGGGGAUAACAGGCUUAUCUCCCCCAAGAGUUCACAUCGACGGGGAGGUUUGGCACCUCGAUGUCGGCUCAUCGCAUCCUGGGGCUGUAGUCGGUCCCAAGGGUUGGGCUGUUCGCCCAUUAAAGCGGUACGCGAGCUGGGUUCAGAACGUCGUGAGACAGUUCGGUCCCUAUCCGUCGUGGGCGUAGGAAAUUUGAGAGGAGCUGUCCUUAGUACGAGAGGACCGGGAUGGACAUACCUCUGGUGUACCAGUUGUCGUGCCAACGGCAUAGCUGGGUAGCUAUGUGUGGACGGGAUAAGUGCUGAAAGCAUCUAAGCAUGAAGCCCCCCUCAAGAUGAGAUUUCCCAACUUCGGUUAUAAGAUCCCUCAAAGAUGAUGAGGUUAAUAGGUUCGAGGUGGAAGCAUGGUGACAUGUGGAGCUGACGAAUACUAAUCGAUCGAAGACUUAAUCAA